AAUAAUCUUUUGCAUUUAUAAUAACCACAGAGGAAAGACAAGGCGAUAAAGUUCCCAAACUACACUUAUGGGAAACUAUCUGUAGUCUAUAAUAUUAUAGGAAUAAUUAAAAUACCGUAAAAAUAGUAAUACCCCAGUGUUAAAUGUGUUUUAUUUUUUAUCAACGCCAUACGCCAUUUUUUGACAGCAAUCAAGAAAUGAAAGAAAAAACGCCGACCACUCAACCCAAAUUCAACCUGGAGGUUGCCGUGGUUUUGCCAUAGCCAGACUAAAACGGCUAACCUACACAGAUUGCUGGAGGGAAAAACAAAGACCGUAUCCUUAAUCCAGGAGCCGUGGAUCAGGAAGGGAAGUAUCUGCGGCAUAAGCAACAUUGGAGUGCCCCGCAAAGAUGAGUGUGGAAGAGUCUUUCAAUUCUAAGUCAUCGAGUGGGAUGAUUCAAUCAGGAGAGUCACUUUGAUUAUUUAAGUACUAAUUUUCUCUUGAUAAUCUUUUUUCGAUAUGCAUUAAUUUCAUGCUAUCGCUUGUGAUCGCGAGUUCCGGAAAAAUAAUAUUCGCGAAAAUUUAUUAUACAUUUAAUGAAAAUUUUUAUACGUAAAGUCGCUUUAGAACAGAUGUUUGGGUAAGGAUUUGCAAUCUCGGGAGAUCCCACGCCAUUUUUUGACAGUGAUCAAGAAACGAAGAAAAAAAAAAGAAAUAUUAGAAACAGCGAAUGCUCCGCUUUUAUUAGCGGUAAGUAAAUUAAAGAAUUUGAACUUUUUUACUAGAAAGGCUUUUAUUUUAAUUGCCUUGAUGAACAAACCCAACACACUAUAGAACUUACAUUUGUGUCUCAAAUAAACUAUUGCAACCAACGGAUAACUUUUCAUCUAGGAUUAGGAUUUAGGAAUUUACGUUCGUUAUAUUACCUUGUAUAAAAUAAAUGAUAUGCGUACGCCAUAUUAACGAAUAACAUAAAAAGUAAAUAAUAUAAAUUUGCGGAUCUAAUCAGUACAUACAUGGUAAAAUAUACCUUAUUACAACUUCGCCUAAAGUUUAAUAAUUAUAAUUUUAUAAAUUGUGUCAUAUGAGAUUCUUCCUAUUCCGUCAUUGUCACACCAUCGCCCUGCCCAACAGUCUCCGCCACCUGCAGAGAGGCGACAGAGUGGACCGCCAAAAGGAGUCACCAAGCAUAUCAAUGAUAAAAAGGUACAGAAAAAAAAAACUAAUAUACGACUGGGGGACGGCAAAACAAAUAAACUAGUUUCUAUUUUUCAAAAUCUUUAAAACACAAACGAUAAAUGUGGUCAUAAUUACAAGACGAUUUAAAUGUUGGUGGAACAAAGGCAUAAAUGUACACCUUAUUUUGAAAAAAAUAUUAAUAGCAAUUAACAAAAAAUAUUUGACACUUGCAAAGUACAUGGCCAUAUUCACAAACAAAUAGGUCGUAUUUCAUGCAAAGAACAAACACUUUGAAGCAGUACAAAGACGAAUAAUACGACUCGGAAUGCAAAAAAGACUUUAAAAUGGCUCUCCUGUAAAAUUACAAAAAGUGCAGUUGAGCCCUUGUACCAUCGAAGGUGCGAUAUAUGUCUCUAUAUCUAUAUGUUCUGUUAAAAUGAUGGGGUAAUUGAAAUUUUUCGGCAAGCUCGAACGCAAGUUUUCUAAAUUCAGUCGUAGUUAACCCGAAAAAACAAGACUCCAAAUUUAUCAAAUGCUGUGCCAACAUCUCCAUAUCCUGAUGACAUAUCAUUAGGUCUUCCAAAUUUUGUUGUCUUAUUCAAUCCUUUCAAACUUUUAUUUUCGUAACACGGCCGGCCGUCCGAUUGUUUUCACGUGCUUGCUUGGCUAUUUAGUUCAGAUCUACCUCAUCACAUGACAAUUUUUAUACGCGACAGUUGGGAUAUCACCGAGGUAAGACUUAGGCGGUAGUACGACUUGAGCAACCUUACCCUAUAUAUAAAAAACCGACACGGUGGACCGCCCAGAGGUGUCGCCAAACGUCCUACCAACAAUAAAAAGGUAGAGAAAUAAAAAAAUAAACUUAUAUAA
rnacentral:misc_RNA from 1 species